rnacentral:lncRNA from 1 species
GUACUUUUGUGGUCAUUCACAGACUUGUGCAUAGUGGCAAAUAAUUGGAGUUGCCCCAGUGUGCGUGUUCCCAGCUGAGGCUCAACAAGGCAAUGCUCUGCCUUCUUAUUCCAGCUUCCGGACUGUGAACCAAGCGUCCUUUUCUUGGUCUAUUUAAUACCACGUUUUGGGUUUUUUUUUUCUUUUUCAUUUUUGUGCUGUCUCUUGGUGAUUUUGCUGUUUAAAAUAGUCCCUAAACAUAGUGCUGAAAGGCUGUCUCGUGUUCCUCAGUGCAAAAAGGCUGUGAUGUGCCUUACAGAGAAAACGUGUGUUAGACAAGCUUCCUUCAGAUGCGAGCUGUAGUGCUGUUGGCCAUGAGUUCAGUGUUAGUGAAUCAGCGACAUAUAUUCGAUAAAGUGUCUUUAAACAGGAACACCAUAAAAUAAGGUUGUGUGUCUAUCAGUUGAUGAAAAUACGA